rnacentral:lncRNA from 1 species
CUGCUGUCCCCCCGAGAGCUGGAAAGACAAAGAGAGAAGGUCGUGUUACAAGAAACCACAAAGCGUGGCCACCUGGGGGAAAGAGAACCAUGGUGGGCCUGCCUGGUGGGAGGUCGCACUAUCAAACGAGGUGCUUUCAGGCAGGAGCUGGAAUCAUAAAGGUUAUAUAGCCUCUGUCAGAGACACCAACCGAGUCAGGAAGAGAGGGAAAAAUAUGCCGGCUUUUCCCUUCUUCCUGCAGCCACAUCUCCUACCAGUACCUUCCAUCAGCUUAACAUAACCAGGAGCUAGUGAUAGACAUCAGUGCUAGAGAAAUACAGAGAAUUAACCUGAGGGCAAAGAGGCAAAUUUCAGCACAGAGGGUAUCUGUGGCUCCCAGCUCUAUCACUUCACCAUCUUGAUGAUUCAGCAUCUCAGUCUCUGUUUUAUAUGUUAUGAAUUCAAACUCACAAAAAGAGAGGGUAUGUUUGGGUUGAUUAGCCCUGCUCAAUCUAAAGCAGUGUUAUCAGGUACAGUUCUGUAGCAAUACAGUUUCUAUAAAACUCCUUUUCAUUGAGCCACUUAUUCAACAAGUUAUAGAGUUCUUGACAUGUCACUUGGUGUAAAGCAAGACAACUACCACACAAAGGAAACAUCCACAGUUAAUGUUCUCGGGAGAGGGACAUGUUACAUCUAGGAAGUACUUGGAGGUUUUUUGAGAAAUCAUCAAUGUUAUGAGCUGAAUUUGUGCCUUUCUCCCAAAUUCAUAUGUUGAAGCCCUACCCAGCUGCUUAGAAUGUAGCUGUAUUUGGAGACAGGAUCUUUAAGAAGGUCAUUAAGUUAACAUGAGGUCAUAUGGGUGAGCUUUAAUCCCAUAUAACCAAUGUCAUAUGGAAAAGACUAGGACACAGACACAGAAGGAAGACCAUGUGAAGACAGAGGGAGAAGACAGACAUAUGCAAGCCAAGGAGAGAGGCCUCAGGAGAAACCAACCCUGUUGACACCUUGAUCUGGGAUUCCUAGCUUCCAGAAUUAUAAGAAAAUUAAUUUUUAUUGGCUGGGCACAGUGGCUUACACCUGUAAUCCCGGCACUUUGGGUGGCCAAGGUGGGUGGAUCAUGAGGUCAGGAGAUCGAGCCCAUCCUGGCCAACAUGGUGAAACCCCGUCUCUACUAAAAAUACAAAAAUUAGCUGGGCAUGGUGGUGUGCACCUGUAGUCCCAGCUACUCAGGAGGCUGAGGUAGGAGAAUCACUUUAACCCGGGAGGCAGAGUUUGCAGUGAGCAGAGACUGCACCAGUGCACUCCAACCUGGAAACAGAGCAAGACUCUGUCUCAAAAAAAAAAAAAA